AAGAUUUAAAUAAAAAACGCCAACAGUUUAUUGUGUUGACAAUGUCAAUUUUAAUGACUGAAAUGAUGAUUGAUUAAAACACGAUGAUUUCAAAGUCUACUCGAAAUACAAAACACUCCACGAUUUUAGAUAAGGCAUUUUGAAUAUAGGCCCUCGAUAUGUACGUUUUGUUGUUUAAUUUUCAAAAU